GUAGGGUCAAUGUUUGCAUCAAAGCUAAGGUGGUUCGCUUGGUGAAGGUUCCUGGGUUCCUCAGUCCAUUCGAGACUAGCACUAUUGAGAUGGUGUUGGCUGAUGAGAAGGUCGGUUACUCUUUACUGGGAAUGAUUUUCAAUUGUGUUAAUCAUGUUUCAUUUGUUUUAAUUUUAAUUAUGUUGUUGUUAUGUUUUAUGAUAUCGGUUAUGUGUUCCUGUACCAUUUGAAGUUGAUUCUCUAUUUAUGUUGGUUGAUUCAAGUUUACAUUACAGUUGAAAUUUAGAAAUUAUAUCACCAAUGUUUAAUGUGUUAGAUAUUAAUUAUGUUCCUGUGUUUUUGGUUUGGUUGAUGCUGUGGUAAUUAUUUUGUUAAUUUUUUUCAGUCAAUUUUAUUAGAUUUUUUCCCAAUUUUUAUUUACUUAAUUUAGGUAAUUAUUUUGUUAAUUUUUUUCAGUCAAUUUUAUUUUGUAAAAAUUCUAACUUUUUUAUUUGUUCUUGCAUAAUCAGAAGCUACCAGUCAGAGAUUGAAGAUUCAAGAGCUAGGUUAUCAUUCUCCCCAAGGUUAUUUUCUAUCUCAAAUCUUACUUUUCCAUGAAGGUUAAUUUUUUCUGUAUUUUUUUUUGCCUUAAACCUCCUUAGUUUUGUUGUUCUGUUACCUUUUUUUAAUAAAAGAGUACCCUUUUCUGUAUUUUAUUAUAUAUCAAAUGGGUUUGUUAAAUUAUUGCUUAAUUGAUAAUUGAUCAUAUUUUUUGCUGACUUUCAUUUGUUAAAAUCCAAUGGAUUUGUAGUAAUAGGCUCAAAGGAAUGAUUUUUUCACUUUUUCAUUUUUUAAUUUUUGAUUUGGGUUAUCAAACUGUUCACCAUUUUCUCUAUUGGAAACUCACGUAUGGUUUUACAGAAACCGUCCUCCGGUUGUGUCUCCGACAAAGAAUUUCCGGCAUCGUGUUGUUCAAGAGGUUAGAAAAAUUGAUUCAUAUUAUGAACUGAUUGUCUUUUGAUGUAGUUUUGUAAUUGUAAGUGACUUGUGUUUGUCAUGGAUUUGGAAUUGGAUGAAACAUGAAGCUUAUAUAUAGCUAUUAUCUUUAUAUGAGACAUUCUGUUUUGAAUCUGGAGGGUCUGGUUGUUUUUCAAGAUUAUGGUGUUUUGAUGCAAUCAUUUGGAAACUGAUAUAUCAUAUCUUUCAUUCUUCUACGACUACUACUACUACUACUACUACUACAAUUGUCACGUUUUUUCUCUCAAUUAUUAUUCAUGAUUUCAUUCUAAUUUUUAUUAAAUUUAAUGUAACGCAUUAAACGUUUCUAUUUACAGGUGGAGAGAGCACAAGUUGAAACGUCGACGUGCAAUUGCAGUGAAGAAGAAACGUGCAAUUGCGGUGAAGAAGAAACACAGAGGUUAGUUUUUGAGAAGCUAUUAUCUUAUGGUGUGAAGCUGUGACAUUUUAUUCGUCAGGGAUAAUUAAGAGGUAUUAAGUUGGUUGGGGAAUUGUAAUUCUUCUAAUUUCUAUUUAACUGACUGUUAGUUUUGCUUAUUUGCUUUUGUGAAAAGAUAUUUCAAGGAAAUUCUCAAGAGCUUGAGUCAAGAGCUUGAGGCAAUUCUUCUAAUUUUUAUGUUGUAUAUUUUAAUUGGAUUUUGUGACUUUGAUAUAGACAAGAGGCAGGCUGAGGAAGAAGUGAAUGCAAUGAGUGCAAAAAGCAAAAGCUAGAAGAGGUUAAGCAAAAGAAGGAAGCUGAGUUGAAGAAAGCUUGAAGGCAGGCUGAUGGUAACUUUUCUUCAUAUAUAGGUACAAUUUGUGGUUGCUUGAACCCAUCAAUGUUAGUUUCACAACAUAUUUCCUUUAAUUAUAUUGAGAACUGAAAAUUGAGUUUUAUUGUGUUGUGAAGAUCACUUCUUUAAUUUCCUUUCUCUCAAUUUUCUUUCAUAUACAGAUUUAUCUCACCGGGACAACUUUUGCGGCUAGAAAAGUGGUGAAAACUCAUGACCAUGUAGAGAAGGCAAUUCUAUCAUGGGCUCUGAAGGUUCACUCACUGUUCUUUUUCUUUUUGUUUUAUUUUUUAUUUUAUUUUGUUCUCUCUUCCCUGAUUAAUGAAUUGAUUUUGAAGUUAAACUUUAUUGAAUCCUCGUGGUUUAGAUAAUUGAAUUUAUUUUAUUUUGUUCUCUCUUCCUUGAAAAACAUUUUCUUUUGGUUGAUAGCUAACCCAAAUUUAGAUAAUGGUUAGGGGUUUGGUUUGUUGGAUUGGCAAUUUAUAGAAUUUUAAAUUAGUGUUUUCAACCUUUCUAAUUUUGUAAAUCAGCUGGUUUGGUAUGCUUGUUGAUUUGGUCGGAACAGAGGUUGAAGAUGACUAUUCAUCUUCAACCUUCGAAUUUAUAUCGUGACCGUUAGAUCAGGCAUACCGUGAACCACAUGGCGCAGAUCUGGUUUUUUUUUUUAAAUCCUAACCCUAUUAUGAAUCAGAUCUGGCUGAUGUAUCACGCGUCCUGUACCUGCGUCGCGCAGGAUUAUUAUUUGUUAUUUGAACUUUAGCAGAACUGGGCCUUGGGCUUACAGAGAUCUCGGUUCUGCAUACCUUGGAUCUUGGGCUUAGAGAGAUCUUGGUUCUGCAUACCUUGGAUCUUGGGCUUAGAGAGAUCCCAGAGUUCCUUUUUCUUUUUUUUUUUUGUGUUUUUUUCUGCUUGCAGAAUUGGACCUUGGGCCUAGAUUUCCUUCUUUUACUUUCCUUACCUUCUGUUUCUGUAAUGUACCCCCAGUGGGUUUGUUUUGUUUUUAAUUUUGAUUUUAAUUACAUAAGUAUUUGCUUUAAUGUACACAGUCAUGUUGAAGAAUUUUUGUAUUUCACUUAUGAAGAGAGGGAAAAUGGAGGUCCUAUGCCGAAGGACCGUUGGAGGCGACN
rnacentral:lncRNA from 1 species